rnacentral:rRNA from 1 species
UACGGGGGGGGUAAGCGUUGUUCGGAAUUACUGGGCGUAAAGGGCUCGUAGGCGGCCAACUAAGUCAUACGUGAAAUCCCUCAGCUUAACUGGGGAACUGCGUGUGAUACUGGAUGGCUUGGAUUUGGGAGAGGGAUGCGGAAUUCCAGGUGUAGCGGUGAAAUGCGUAGAUAUCUGGAGGAAUACCGGUGGCGAAGGCGGCAUCCUGGACCGGCAUUGACGCUGAGGAGCGAAAGCUAGGGGAGCAAACGGG